GACGAACGCUGUUGGCGUGCUUAACACAUGCAAGUCGAACGGAAAGGCCCUGCUUUUGUGGGGUGCUCGAGUGGCGAACGGGUGAGUAACACGUGAGUAACCUGCCCUUGACUUUGGGAUAACUUCAGGAAACUGGGGCUAAUACCGGAUAGGAGCUCCUGCUGCAUGGUGGGGGUUGGAAAGUUUCGGCGGUUGGGGAUGGACUCGCGGCUUAUCAGCUUGUUGGUGGGGUAGUGGCUUACCAAGGCUUUGACGGGUAGCCGGCCUGAGAGGGUGACCGGCUACAUUGGGACUGAGAUACGGCCCAGACUCCUACGGGAGGCAGCAGUGGGGAAUAUUGCACAAUGGGCGGAAGCCUGAUGCAGCAACGCCGCGUGCGGGAUGACGGCCUUCGGGUUGUAAACCGCUUUCGCCUGUGACGAAGCGUGAGUGACGGUAAUGGGUAAAGAAGCACCGGCUAACUACGUGCCAGCAGCCGCGGUGAUACGUAGGGUGCGAGCGUUGUCCGGAUUUAUUGGGCGUAAAGGGCUCGUAGGUGGUUGAUCGCGUCGGAAGUGUAAUCUUGGGGCUUAACCCUGAGCGUGCUUUCGAUACGGGUUGACUUGAGGAAGGUAGGGGAGAAUGGAAUUCCUGGUGGAGCGGUGGAAUGCGCAGAUAUCAGGAGGAACACCAGUGGCGAAGGCGGUUCUCUGGGCCUUUCCUGACGCUGAGGAGCGAAAGCGUGGGGAGCGAACAGGCUUAGAUACCCUGGUAGUCCACGCUGUAAACGGUGGGUACUAGGUGUGGGGUCCAUUCCACGGGUUCCGUGCCGUAGCUAACGCUUUAAGUACCCCGCCUGGGGAGUACGGCCGCAAGGCUAAAACUCAAAGGAAUUGACGGGGCCCCGCACAAGCGGCGGAGCAUGCGGAUUAAUUCGAUGCAACGCGUAGAACCUUACCUGGGUUUGACAUGGAUCGGGAGUGCUCAGAGAUGGGUGUGCCUCUUUUGGGGUCGGUUCACAGGUGGUGCAUGCCUGUCGUCAGCUCGUGUCGUGAGAUGUUGGGUUAAGUCCCGCAACGAGCGCAACCCUUGUUCACUGUUGCCAGCACGUUAUGGUGGGGACUCAGUGGAGACCGCCGGGGUCAACUCGGAGGAAGGUGGGGAUGACGUCAAGUCCUCAUGCCCCUUAUGUCCAGGGCUUCACGCAUGCUACAAUGGCUGGUACAGAGAGUGGCGAGCCUGUGAGGGUGAGCGAAUCUCGGAAAGCCGGUCUCAGUUCGGAUUGGGGUCUGCAACUCGACCUCAUGAAGUCGGAGUCGCUAGUAAUCGCAGAUCAGCAACGCUGCGGUGAAUACGUUCCCGGG
rnacentral:rRNA from 1 species